rnacentral:rRNA from 1 species
AGAAUGAGAGCUUCGGCAGGAAUUUUUCUUAUCUUAGUGGCGGACGGGUGAGUAACGUGUGGGCAACCUGCCCUGCACUGGGGAAUAAUCAUUGGAAACGAUGACUAAUACCGCAUACGGUUCCUGGGAGGCAUCUUCCGGGAAAGAAAGGAUUUAUUCGGUGCAGGAUGGGCCCGCAUCUGAUUAGCUAGUUGGUGAGAUAACAGCCCACCAAGGCGACGAUCAGUAGCCGACCUGAGAGGGUGACCGGCCACAUUGGGACUGAGACACGGCCCAAACUCCUACGGGAGGCAGCAGUGGGGAAUAUUGCACAAUGGGCGAAAGCCUGAUGCAGCAACGCCGCGUGAAGGAAGAAGGGUUUCGGCUCGUAAACUUCUAUCAACAGGGACGAAAGAAAUGACGGUACCUGAAUAAGAAGCCCCGGCUAACUACGUGCCAGCAGCCGCGGUAAUACGUAGGGGGCAAGCGUUAUCCGGAAUUACUGGGUGUAAAGGGUGAGUAGGCGGCAUGGUAAGCCAGAUGUGAAAGCCUUGGGCUUAACCCGAGGAUUGCAUUUGGAACUAUCAAGCUAGAGUACAGGAGAGGAAAGCGGAAUUCCUAGUGUAGCGGUGAAAUGCGUAGAUAUUAGGAAGAACACCAGUGGCGAAGGCGGCUUUCUGGACUGAAACUGACGCUGAGGCACGAAAGCGUGGGGAGCGAACAGGAUUAGAUACCCUGGUAGUCCACGCCGUAAACGAUGAGUGCUAGGUGUCGGGGAGGAAUCCCCGGUGCCGCAGCUAACGCAAUAAGCACUCCACCUGGGGAGUACGACCGCAAGGUUGAAACUCAAAGGAAUUGACGGGGGCCCGCACAAGCGGUGGAGCAUGUGGUUUAAUUCGAAGCAACGCGAAGAACCUUACCAAGGCUU